rnacentral:SRP_RNA from 1 species
GCUGGGCAUGGUGGCGCGUGCCUGUAGUCCCAGCUACUCAGGAGGCUGAGGCAGGAGAAUCGCUUGAACCCAGGAGGCAGAGGUUGCAGUGAGCCAAGAUUGCACCACUGUACUCCUGGGCAACAAAGCAAGACUCUGUCUCAA